AUGGUCGGCGCGGGUCAAAGUGUUGUAUCUGUUCUUAUCAGCGUAAUAAAUACAUAUUAUACGGGUUGUAUUUCGACCCAAGAUAUUAAAAUUAUUCUUGCAAGUUGGCGGUUUGUUUGAAGCCUGCUUCACCUCCGCCGCGGCUCAGCCCGGUAUUGCACUAUCUUCGAGAUCGGCCCACGUUUU